rnacentral:rRNA from 1 species
GCCUGGUGUAAUAAUUUUAGGUAACGCCUGCCCAAUGAUUUUCAAUGGCCGCAGUAUCCUGACUGUGCAAAGGUAGCAUAAUCACUUGUCUUUUAAUUGAAGGCUAGUAUGAAUGGUGUGACGUAGCAGGAGCUGUACCACUGGUAUAAUUUAACUUAAUCUGUAAGUCAAAAAGCUUACAUGCUCCCGCAGGACGAGAAGACCCCGUAGAUCUUUAUAUUCCCCUUAGCUCGCACAGACAGAUAAUAAAUGGUGAACUAACAGGUGUUAUUACGUUGGGGUGACGGGAGGUAACACAACACCUCCAGCCUACCACUGAAAUUCACGGUUAAUGGAUCCAUUUAUGAUUACAAAAAUAAGUUACCUCGGGGAUAACAGCGUAAUCUAUUUUCAGAGUUCUUAUCAACAAAUAGGAUUGCGACCUCGAUGUUGGAUUAAGAGCCGUACAAAACGCAACCGUUUUUAUUCGGGGUCUGUUCGACC